rnacentral:rRNA from 1 species
GAUGAACGCUGGCGGCGUGCCUAAUACAUGCAAGUCGAGCGAACGGACGAGAAGCUUGCUUCUCUGAUGUUAGCGGCGGACGGGUGAGUAACACGUGGAUAACCUACCUAUAAGACUGGGAUAACUUCGGGAAACCGGAGCUAAUACCGGAUAAUAUUUUGAACCGCAUGGUUUAAAAGUGAAAGACGGUCUUGCUGUCACUUAUAGAUGGAUCCGCGCUGCAUUAGCUAGUAGGUAAGGUAACGGCUUACCAAGGCAACGAUGCAUAGCCGACCUGAGAGGGUGAUCGGCCACACUGGAACUGAGACACGGUCCAGACUCCUACGGGAGGCAGCAGUAGGGAAUCUUCCGCAAUGGGCGAAAGCCUGACGGAGCAACGCCGCGUGAGUGAUGAAGGUCUUCGGAUCGUAAAACUCUGUUAUUAGGGAAGAACAUAUGUGUAAGUAACUGUGCACAUCUUGACGGUACCUAAUCAGAAAGCCACGGCUAACUACGUG